rnacentral:rRNA from 1 species
CAUAUCAAUAAGCGGAGGAAAAGAAACCAACAGGGAUUGCCUCAGUAACGGCGAGUGAAGCGGCAAAAGCUCAGAUUUGAAAUCUGGCGUCAGUUCUGGCGUCCGAGUUGUAAUCUGUAGAGGAGUAUUCGAGUGUGGCGCUGGCUUAAGUUCCUUGGAACAGGACGUCAUAGAGGGUGAGAACCCCGUUAACGGCCCUUGUCUUAUGCUCAUGUGAAUCUCCUUCAACGAGUCGAGUUGUUUGGGAAUGCAGCUCUAAAUGGGUGGUAAAUUCCAUCUAAAGCUAAAUACUGGCAAGAGACCGAUAGCGCACAAGUAGAGUGAUCGAAAGAUGAAAAGAACUCUGAACAGAGAGUUAAAUAGUACGUGAAAUUGUUGAAAGGGAAGCACUUGCUACCAGACACGCCUGCGGUUGAUCAGCCUUGACUAUAUCAUGGUGCACUCGGCCGUACGGUGGGUCAGCAUCAGUUGUGGCGGCGGGAUAAAGACUUGGGGAAUGUGGCUUCUCUCGGGAAGUGUUAUAGCCCUGGGUGUAAUACCGCCUGCUCGCGACUGAGGACUGCGCCCGCAAGGGUGAGGAUGCUGGCAUAAUGGUCGUAAGUGACCCGUCUUGAAACACGGACCAAGGAGUCUAACAUCUAUGCGAGUGUUUGGGUGUCAAAACCCUUACGCGGAAUGAA